rnacentral:rRNA from 1 species
AGUUCCCCGCCUGGGGAGUACGGCCGCAAGGCUAAAACUCAAAGGAAUUGACGGGGACCCGCACAAGCGGCGGAGCAUGCGGAUUAAUUCGAUGCAACGCGAAGAACCUUACCAAGGCUUGACAUACACCAGAACACCGUAGAAAUACGGGACUCUUUGGACACUGGUGAACAGGUGGUGCAUGGUUGUCGUCAGCUCGUGUCGUGAGAUGUUGGGUUAAGUCCCGCAACGAGCGCAACCCUCGUUCUGUGUUGCCAGCACGUUAUGGUGGGAACUCAUGGGAUACUGCCGGGGUCAACUCGGAGGAAGGUGGGGAUGACGUCAAAUCAUCAUGCCCCUUAUGUCUUGGGCUUCACGCAUGCUACAAUGGCCGGUACAAAGGGCUGCAAUACCGUGAGGUGGAGCGAAUCCCAAAAAGCCUCCCAUCGGAUUGAGGUCUGCAACUCGACCUCAUGAAGUCGAGUCGCUUCAUCGCGGUCAGCACGAACCUGUCC